GAGUUUGAUCGUGGCUCAGAUUGAACGCUGGCGGCAUGCCUUACACAUGCAAGUCGAACGGCAGCACGGGAGCUUGCUCCUGGUGGGCGAGUGGCGAACGGGUGAGUAAUGCAUCGGAACGUAUCCUGGAGUGGGGGAUAACGUAGCGAAAGUUACGCUAAUACCGCAUAUUCUGUGAGCAGGAAAGCGGGGGACCUUCGGGCCUCGCGCUCUUGGAGCGGCCGAUGUCGGAUUAGCUAGUUGGUGAGGUAAAGGCUCACCAAGGCGACGAUCCGUAGCAGGUCUGAGAGGAUGAUCUGCCACACUGGAACUGAGACACGGUCCAGACUCCCUACGGGAGGCAGCGAGGUGGGU
rnacentral:rRNA from 1 species